rnacentral:lncRNA from 1 species
CCCUUCUUUACCUUUAUGCUGCGAUGGAAAUGGCUCACCCUGGCUUCAUACAAUGCGGUUGGUAUGUUUAUGGGUUGAUCUGCCAGAGUCCACAGGAGGAGACGCCCCUGCUGCUGCUGCCACUGCCACCGCCGCUGCGCCUGCUGCCCCCGGUGCUGAGCUCAUGUCAGUAUUUGAUGGAUUAGGAGAUGUAAUGAAGCCCACUGUGACGCCUCAGGCAGGUGAUGUUGACACCUCAAUGGCGAACAUGGCAAGUAAUCUCACAAUGGGAACUCCAGCGGCCCCUCAGGUAGCUCCCCCCAGUUGGGGUGCCCCCAUGGUAAAUGUUGUCUGUGUCUUAUAG